GAGAGGCAGAUUAAACAGUUGGCAGUGAUGAAGUCGCUGCUGGAGAAGACAGAUUGCGAGGAAACACCCUGGAUUGGACCCUCAUUGGGUGCCUGCUUUAACCCAAGGUCUUGGCUUCCCUCCAUUGUGCAGGUACACAAUAUAAAGCAAAGUUGCUGAAGCUGCUAUAUUAUAGUGGACGGCUCUGAAAAAUGCAUUGACAAGACUGGAAAAAAUUGUGGAAAAACACAAAAAGCAAAAUGACUGCAAUUAAGAAUGUUUACUAGGAUGAUGAAGACAAUGACACGUUGGGAGAAUAAGGAUUAUACUGUCAAACUGUAUAAAAUACAUGCAAUUAAGUGAGCAGUAGGAUGGAGCUGUCUUUAAGAUUUUAAUUAGCUUACUCUGCACAUUGCGCACUACAAUGCACAGAAUUCUUUUAUAGUAGUAAGCUGAUCUUUUUUUAUAUGGUGCCAUCCUCUGCUACUUUCUGUGCACAGUGUCUACCUUCUCUUUGUAUGAAGUUGCUUCUUCCUUUGCUCUCAUUGUGUAGCUCUUUGCUUUUAUCCGUGUGCCUUUUUUGUGUAUAGAGUGUAUGUUCAUUGUAGGAGUGAAGUGAGCAGUCACAGGUGGUAGUAAUGUGAACGCAGAGUAACAAAAGGGUUUAUUUACGAAACAUCGGGCUGUAAAACCCGUAGCUUAUGAUUAAGUUUAUACCCAAAAUUUUAAAGAGCAAUGAUUUUACUAACGAUUUUUGCUAGAUAAAUCAUUGCCCUUUUUAACCAUAAACAUCAGAAGCAACGGGUUUUACACCCUGACACUUCAUAAUAAACCCCAAAGUCUGAGCGCAAGGCUUGUGGUUUUAAACUAAUUCCCAACAUCUUAGCACUUUCUCAACAUAACUUUUUUUCUCUUGCAAGAAAGCAAAAAAUAAAGAAGUAAACCUCUUUGUA